UGGGUCGACUCAUUCUUUGCUUGGGUCGACCCAACUACUGUUCAUCCGUGCCAUUUUUGCAGAAGUGUGCCAGAUGCUUUCUUGAUAUGCCGGGGUCGACUCAAUCAACCUUGCUGCAACUUAAGCUUAGAUUCAUCCAUAUAAGCAAUGAAAUGCAUCUUUAUCUUAUUACACUAAUGUACUGAGAGUAACAGACUUAUAAAUGAUGUAUCAAAUUAACUUGUAACAUACUCUUGAUUAUUGUAUUAAUCAUCAAA
rnacentral:lncRNA from 1 species